rnacentral:rRNA from 1 species
UACAGAGGGGGCAAGCGUUAUUCGGAAUUAUUGGGCGUAAAGAGCUUGUAGGCGGUCUGUCGCGUCUGCUGUGAAAAUCCGGGGCUCAACCCCGGACUUGCAGUGGGUACGGGCAGACUAGAGUGUGGUAGGGGAGACUGGAAUUCCUGGUGUAGCGGUGAAAUGCGCAGAUAUCAGGAGGAACACCGAUGGCGAAGGCAGGUCUCUGGGCCAGUACUGACGCUGAGGAGCGAAAGCGUGGGGAGCAAACAGG